CAGUAUUCAGAAUUAGGAACUGAGAUAACUACCAAAAAGUUCUAGGGAAAAAAAUACAUCAGAUUAUUUAUUUCAAUCAGAUAAGCUUAUCAUAAUAGGUAAUCAAUUACGUGUUCCAACAAAACUCUAGUUUUCAAUUGCCAAUUAAGGCUACCAUGCACCAAUCAUCUAGAGAUAAAUGAGAGUAGGGUAAGUGAACAAAGUGGUAAACCCCAAACAAAUGAUAUUGUCAUUGCUCCAUACUGUCAAGUAUCAACAAUUCAAGAAACACAAGCUUCAUAUGAUCCAGACCACAAAUCUCAACAGAAUUGAGCCACACUAUUCACUCAUCCUGAGAAAUAACGUUUUUGCUUUGCUUAGGGUGGUUAAGAUGGCUCCAAGAAUAUCAAAAUACAAUUUCCUUCACAUGUCAAAUAUUAAGCAUUGUUGCACUACUAUCCAAUAUUCUUCCAUAACUAUACCAAGCCAAAAUAUAUACCCAAUUCAAUUUAAAACUAAACUCACCUUUCAAAUCAAUUAGAUGUUCCAAAAUAUUAUAUUAUUUACAUCUCGAUGAGUUAAUUUUCCAAAACACAAUUUCAAUCCCCAAUUUUUCACACAUUAGAUCCCUAAAAUAGUCAGGAGUUUCAAAAAUACAUAAAUAAAUUCGAAAUUCCAUAAAAUUAAAAAAAAUAGGACUUGAAGGGACUCACCCAAGAAAGGAGGUAGGAAAAGAUGGCGGUUACCAGCGGCAGAGAUGGAGAUGGAGAUGGUGGCGGUGGUGCUCCUUCGUUGCCGCGUGGAUUGUCUAUAUAUGGGGAUAGAUCGCAGUGUGAUGGCAGGGGUGGUGCUCCGUUCAUAUCGAAGCUGCGGUGGAGAUGGAGACGAAUCAAAGCUGCAUUAAAGGUAAGCAAAGAAGAGAAAGUGGCGAUGGAAAAUCGAGAGGAGAACCAAUAUGGGUUAUUUGGGCAAAACACGUAGCUCAGAUUUAUUCAACCUAUUCACAUAUGUAUUGGAUUUUAUAUUUUUUAUGAGAU
rnacentral:lncRNA from 1 species